rnacentral:piRNA from 1 species
UGAUGAAGGUCCUGAGGAGAUGAUUGU